CAUGCAGCUGUGAGCUCACAUCAGACAUGCAGCUCUGAGUCCAGUUUCAUCAACUAUGGAUGUGAGUCAGAGUGAAUAAGUUCACUAGUAAUGAGGAGCCAUGCAGAGUGGCUUUCGCAGGCUGAACCCACUAGAGCAUGGGCAGGAAGGAUGACAGAGUACUGAAGCAACCAGCUUGAUGUGACCCACAGCGAGCAUGAUGUUAGCAAAGUGAAGGAGACUAUUCUGAAAGUUCAAGCCUAUGAGUUACUGAAGGUCAGGACUAAGCUAUCCAGGAAUCCAGGAGUCUGAGAAUUGAAUCUCAAUUCUCAAAAUUCUCAGAAACUCAACUGUUUUGUAGUUAUCCCAAUAUUGAUGUCCAUAGAACAAGGAAUGUCUGACACAACCCAACCCAGAAGUGGCUCAGGUGAGGAUUUGCAUCUGAUGGAACCAACUUUGUGUGAACAUCCAUGGAAGAAAAAGAACGAUGAAAACAGAAAGGAGAUGAAACAGAGAAUCUAG